rnacentral:lncRNA from 1 species
CUUUCUCUUUUCUAUAUUCAGUGCUCCGUCCGCCGUCCCACUGUUUGGUCCAGUCCCCCCUGUUGUACUGUAUAUAUGUACUGCAUGUGUGACCCUCAGUAACUCCCAUGUCAGGUUUCCGGAGUCUCCAUCGAGUUCAGCUGAGCUUGCUGUGAAUCCAUCUUUCUGGUAUGCUCCUUUGUGCCUCAUUCCUGAUUGCCAAAUGGUUGGGCCAAGUGCAUCUUCACUCAAUGUCCCGAGACAGCCGUGUAUGUGUAACCUUGUGACAGGGCAUGCUCUGUGUGGGAUGGCUCGUGUGCAGCGUAAAUCUAUCUCGUGUGGAAGUGUGUAUCCAUUUAUACGCCAGAUAACUAUCAUUCGUGUAACAGCUGCAAAGGUAUUUAAUGUACAUCAGAUUUUAAAAAAAAAGAGCGUUUUUGCUCUAUUAUAUUCAAAUAAAGAUUGCCGAGUGACUGACA